rnacentral:lncRNA from 1 species
ACGAUAUGGAUGAUCUGGUGGUAGAAAUCUCCUGUGACAGUCAAACCAACACGUUUUCCUUCCGUGUUUUAGUUGGAAAGCAUCAGUGUUAUCUUGACAAUAUGGACAUGAUAGCCUUCCAUGCGUUGUCCAUCCAGAUAACAUACCAUAUGCUGGAAAAUCACUUAUUGUCCACAUUAGUACUGCCCGCAUUUGAAAGUUUUCUUUAUACGAAACAUCGUAUGUUUCAGCACCUUGAGUCCAUAGUUGUUGCAACUCAUAUAUUAGUGGCUGAAGAAACACAUCAAGUGAUCUCUUAGGAUGCUCUGGUCC